GACGAGGGGUCCUAGCGUUGUUCGGAAUCAUUGGGCGUAAAGCGUGUGUAGGUUGCCAUUCAAGUCAGUUGUGAAGCCCGGGCUUAACCCGGGAAGUGCUUCUGAUACUGUUGGCUUGAGUACUGGAGAGGAUAGUAGAAAUUCCUGGUGUAGUGGUGAAAUACGUAGAUAUCAGGAGGAAUACCGGUGGCGAAGGCGGCUAUCUGGCCAUGUACUGACACUGAGACACGAAAGCGUGGGGAGCAAACAGG
rnacentral:rRNA from 1 species